UACGGGGGGGGCAAGCGUUGUUCGGAAUUACUGGGCGUAAAGGGCUCGUAGGCGGCCAACUAAGUCGGACGUGAAAUCCCCAGGCUCAACCUGGGAACUGCAUCCGAUACUGGAUGGCUUGAAUCCGGGAGAGGGAUGCAGAAUUCCAGGUGUAGCGGUGAAAUGCGUAGAUAUCUGGAGGAAUACCGGUGGCGAAGGCGGCAUCCUGGACCGGCAUUGACGCUGAGGAGCGAAAGCUAGGGGAGCAAACGGG
rnacentral:rRNA from 1 species